UGUGUGCGUGCAGCAGAUGGUAAAAUACUGACGUGUGUUACAGCAAAUCCUCAAUCACAUUCUGGACGACAUCGAACACUUCGUCACCAAACUGCAGAAAGCCGCCGAGGCCUUUAACGAGCUCUCAAAGCGCAAGAAAACCAAGAAGAGCAAAAAGAAAGGACCCGGAGAGGGAGUUUUGACGCUGAGAGCUAAACCUCCGUCUCAGGACGAGUUUAUCGACUGCUUCCAGAAGUUCAAACACGCCUUCAACCUGCUGGGGAAGUUGAAGAACCACAUUCAGAACCCCAGCGCUGUGGAUCUGGUCCACUUCCUGUUCAAUCCUCUUAGACUGGUG